rnacentral:rRNA from 1 species
GACGAACGCUGGCGGCGUGCUUAACACAUGCAAGUCGAACGGAAAGGCCCUGCUUGCAGGGUACUCGAGUGGCGAACGGGUGAGUAACACGUGGGUGAUCUGCCCUGCACUUCGGGAUAAGCCUGGGAAACUGGGUCUAAUACCGGAUAGGAGCCAUUUUUAGUGUGAUGGUUGGAAAGUUUUUUUCGGUGUAGGAUGAGCUCGCGGCCUAUCAGCUUGUUGGUGGGGUAAUGGCCUACCAAGGCGGCGACGGUAGCCGGCCUGAGAGGGUGGACGGCCACAUUGGGACUGAGAUACGGCCCAGACUCCUACGGGAGGCAGCAGUGGGGAAUAUUGCACAAUGGGCGCAAGCCUGAUGCAGCGACGCCGCGUGGGGGAUGACGGCCUUCGGGUUGUAAACUCCUUUCGCUAGGGACGAAGCUUUUUGUGACGGUACCUAGAUAAGAAGCACCGGCUAACUACGUG